UACGAAGGGGGCGAGCGUUGUUCGGAAUUACUGGGCGUAAAGCGCGCGCAGGCGGUUCUUUAAGGCUGAUGUGAAAGCCCACGGCUCAACCGUGGAGGGUCAUUGGAAACUGGAGAACUUGAGUACAGAAGAGGAAAGCGGAAUUCCACGUGUAGCGGUGAAAUGCGUAGAGAUGUGGAGGAACACCAGUGGCGAAGGCGGCCUGCUGGGCAGUGGCUGACACUGAGGCGCGACAGCGUGGGGAGCAAACAGG
rnacentral:rRNA from 1 species